rnacentral:rRNA from 1 species
CCUACGGGCGGCUGCAGUGGGGAAUAUUGCACAAUGGGCGCAAGCCUGAUGCAGCCAUGCCGCGUGUGUGAAGAAGGCUUCGGGUUGUAAAGCACUUUCAGCGGGGAGGAAGGCGUUAAGGUUAAUAACCUUGGCGAUUGACGUUACCCGCAGAAGAAGCACCGGCUAACUCCGUGCCAGCAGCCGCGGUAAUACGGAGGGUGCAAGCGUUAAUCGGAAUUACUGGGCGUAAAGCGCACGCAGGCGGUCUGUCAAGUCGGAUGUGAAAUCCCCGGGCUCAACCUGGGAACUGCAUUCGAAACUGGCAGGCUAGAGUCUUGUAGAGGGGGGUAGAAUUCCAGGUGUAGCGGUGAAAUGCGUAGAGAUCUGGAGGAAUACCGGUGGCGAAGGCGGCCCCCUGGACAAAGACUGACGCUCAGGUGCGAAAGUGUGGGGAGCAAACAGGAUUAGAUACCCCUGUAGUC